GUGGCUGUGGCUCAGUUAUAGUGUACUUGCCUGACAUGCAUGAGGCACUGAGUUCAAUUCUCAGCACCAAUA
rnacentral:tRNA from 1 species